AUCUGGUUGAUCCUGCCAGUAGUCAUACGCUCGUCUCAAAGAUUAAGCCAUGCAUGUGUAAGUAUAAAUAAUUCUACUUUGAAACUGCGAAUGGCUCAUUAUAUCAGUUAUAGUUUAUUAGAAAUAAUUUACUACUUGGAUAACCGUAGUAAUUCUAGGGCUAAUACAUGAGUAAAUCCUCGACUUUGAAGAGGUGUGUUUAUUAGUAUGAAAACCAUAUGCUUUGGCAUAAUAGUGAGUAAUAAUAACCUUUCAUAUCGUAUGUUGUAAUAACGAUAGUUCUUUCAAGUUUCUGCCCUAUCAGCUUUCGAUGGUAGUGCAUUGGACUACCAUGGCAGUAACGGGUAACGAAGAAUUUGGGUUCGAUUUCGGAGAGGGAGCCUGAGAGAUGGCUACCACAUCCAAGGAAGGCAGCAGGCGCGUAAAUUACCCAAUCCUGACAUAGGGAGGUAGUGACAAUAAAUCACAAUGCGGGACUUUUAGUUUUGCAAUUGGAUUGAGAACAAUGUAAAAGAGUUAUCGAUAAACAAUUGGAGGGCAAGUCUGGUGCCAGCAGCCGCGGUAAUUCCAGCUCCAAUAGCGUAUAUUAACGUUGUUGCAGUUAAAAAGCUC
rnacentral:rRNA from 1 species